AGUAAUAGAUAUAGGCUUGAAACUUAAAGAAUUUGGCGGUAUUUUAAUCUUUUCAGAGGAACCUGUUCUAUAAUCGAUAUUCCACGUUAAAUUUUACUAAAUUAUUUAUAUAUCGUUGUCGAAAGAAUAAAUUUUCUAAUAUUUUAAGGAAAAUAGAUGUCAAAUCAAGGUGUAGUUGAUGAUUUAGUAGAAAUGGGUUACAAUAAAUUUAUUUAGAAAAUUUUAGAAGGAGGAUUUGAAAGUAAAUUAAUUUUAAUAAAUUUAAU
rnacentral:rRNA from 1 species